rnacentral:misc_RNA from 1 species
GAUGAAGAACGUAGCGAAAUGCGAUAAGUGAUGUGAAUUGCAGAAUUCAGUGAAUCAUCGAAUCUUUGAACGCACAUUGCGCCCCCUGGUAUUCCGGGGGGCAUGCCUGUCCGAGCGUCAUUACAACCCUCAAGCUCAGCUUGGUGUUGGGCCCCGCCGCCCCGGCGGGCCCUAAAGUCAGUGGCGGUGCCGUCCGGCUCCGAGCGUAGUAAUUCUUCUCGCUCUGGAGGCCCGGUCGUGUGCUCGCCAGCAACCCCCAAUUUUUUUCAGGUUGACCUCGGAUCAGGUAGGGAUACCCGCUGAACUUAAGCAUAUCAAUAAGCGGAGGA